UACAGAGGGUGCAAGCGUUGUUCGGAAUUACUGGGCGUAAAGGGCUCGUAGGUGGCCAACUAAGUCAGACGUGAAAUCCCUCGGCUUAACCGGGGAACUGCGUCUGAUACUGGAUGGCUUGAGUUCGGGAGAGGGAUGCGGAAUUCCAGGUGUAGCGGUGAAAUGCGUAGAUAUCUGGAGGAACACCGGUGGCGAAGGCGGCAUCCUGGACCGACACUGACACUGAGGAGCGAAAGCCAGGGGAGCAAACAGG
rnacentral:rRNA from 1 species